GCCGCCAUGGUGAAAUUGGUAGAUACGCUGCUCUUAGGAAGCAGUGCUCAAGCAUCUCGGUUCGAGUCCGAGUGGCGGCA
rnacentral:tRNA from 1 species